rnacentral:pre_miRNA from 1 species
AGUAGAAUUUUUGGGUCAUAUGGUAACUUGACUUUUUAAGGAACUACUGGGCUGUUUUCCAAAGUGGCUGCACCAUUUUACCCACCAAUAGU